rnacentral:misc_RNA from 1 species
ACUAUAUCAGAUGCCAUUUCUUUGUGAAAAGCACUCGUAUGGAUCGGUAGUUCUAUAACAAACAUUGGCACGCAAUGAGGAUCCUCUUGAAUGGCUAGACUUACUCUCCCUUUGCGAUAUCCGAAAAGGGUACCUGUAGUAGCAUUGUCUUUAAGUAAAGGUUUUCGAGGCCUGCCAAGAAGUGCAACCAUCUUGCAACCUGAGGUUAACAUGGGGAAGAGCUUGAACAUUUUAAGAAGCCCCCCGGAACUAGAUUUUGACCGUUUCUCGCCGGCGGUUUUCCGGAGCAGGGAUAGUAUGGCUGGAUUGUCCAUUUGGAAGUAAGGGCUAGAAUGCACAGGAGGCAUUGUAGGAUUUCUGGUAAAAGGGUCUGAAAUUAGAUCAAGAAAUAAAGAAUUAAGAGAGAGGUGUAUUUGAGCUAGUGACAAGCUAUAAGAUACAUAUAGAGGGAUGGAAAAGGGGAGUUAGGGAAGGUGAUUAGAGUUGGAUUGUCCUUGCGAAUCUCUUUGGCGUGGGAAAGAGGGAGGAGAGACCCCUCCAAGUUGGUUGAGAGAAAAGGAAAAAUGAGCAGUAAUGGUUUGAUGUGACCAAGUUUAGUGAUGGAAAAAGAGAUGGG